rnacentral:rRNA from 1 species
GGAUGCGAUCAUACCAGCACUAAAGCACCGUAUCCCAUCAGAACUCCGAAGUUAAGCAUGCUUGGGCGAGAGUAGUACUAGGAUGGGUGACCUCCUGGGAAGUCCUCGUGUUGCAUUCC